CAUUACCAGCGAUGAGUGAAACAUAUGAAGCUUGUUAUGAUAGUUGUGUUUCCUCGUGCCAAAUGUUUUCUCUCGACGUUAAAAUCAAAUGCAUUCAUGAUUGUGUUGGUUCCAAAUGUCAUAAAGCACAUGUAAUCCCCCGGAUGGCGGGUAAAGAUAUAUUUUAAGAAAUUCUUACAUAGAGAGAUAUGUUAUUAAACACACAUGAUAUUUUUAGUUUACUAUGUAUAAUAAUAAAAUUUCAUCGUCAUUUUCAGAAUUCAACCGUUCUCAAAACAUAUUUUGGUCAACUUCUCAAAACAUUUUAUGUUACACCUUUUAAUUGUUUUCUCGUCUCAUAGAUCUUAAUUGUUUGGGCUGAGUCUAGAUUUAGAUAUGGGCUUGUCCCACCCAUAUGCACCCAGUUUAAAGAAUAUAAAGACUAAAAAUGUAGAAAAUUAUUUUAUUUUUAUGUGAUUUUGAGAAUUUUCUUAUAAACGUACAAUGCACAUGAUUUCUACUAAGAAAAAGAUUAACUGAUAUUCGACACAUAUAAUUUGUAAAUGAUGAACGAUAAAAUUCUAAUUAUAAUUGUUCAUUUUUCUCUCUAGCAAAGACAUAAUUACUGGAAAAAAUAUAUUAAGAUACGCCUUUGGACAUAAAACUAUAAAUAUGAUUCUGUAAUUCAGAUCUUUACAUUUUUAUAAGAAUUCACGAUCUUUUUUUUGAAAAAACAUUCCAGAUAGAAAUUUUUUAAACAAUAAAAAUAAUGUUCGUCAUUUCUCAGUAACUAUAAUAAAUAAACAUAAUUAAAUUGAUACAUCAACAAGAAAAAUCUUACUUAUAUAUAACUGAAUUCUAAUUUAUAUGGUCAACUUCGGGAAACAACAUCAUCUUUUUAUCCUAAUUCAACAUAU